ensembl:processed_transcript 4930506C21Rik RIKEN cDNA 4930506C21 gene
UCAUGAAGAACUGUUCUGUGAGAAGCCUUCACUGAACUACUGACUACUGACUUGUGCUGAAGGACCCUUCCAGAUCUCAUAUGCCCUGCUGCUGCUGUGCCUGUCUAGUUCUGCAUUAUCAGCUGGACCCCUCUCCAUGAGUAGCCUUGGUCUCUUUCAAGAGCUGGUCCUUGUACCGCUAUGCAGAUGGCCGCUUACUCAUCCUGGAAAUAAUUGGAGACAAUUUCAAUGAGACACAAAGUCUACCGCCAGUCCCAGAGGCUCUGCAUGGCUUUAGAAGACAAGUUUCUAUAACAUGGUUUUGUAACAAUGGUACAAUAUGUUUUUCUAAAAUUGAGUUUUUUUUCACCAAUUCCUCAAAACAAUACAUUAAAAUGUGCUUACUCGU